AGAGGACUGGUCAGAGGGCCUGGUCACUUGGGGCUACACCAGUGUGUCCUGGUCAGCAUGGGCCUGGUCAGCUGAAAUGUGGUCAGUGGGGGCCUGGCCCAGGACAUGGAGAUGCCCGAUGCUGGGAGGAGGCACAGACAGCAGGAAGGAGAGAAGGAAGGAACUUCCAUAGUAUGGAUGCCUACGAAGUUACAACACGUGGUUCCAUCGCCAUGUUCUCUGUUUAUUUCCCACAUAAUUCUCUAUUCUAAACUGGCCUCAGUUGAGCACAAAACCAUCCUUGUACUACCACAAAUAGUUGGCCAUGGCUCUUUGAUAGCAGUUUUUAUUCUGCUGUGGAAAUUAUCCUUGAACUGGAAAAAGUCCCCAAUCCAACAUCCAGUCACUCAACACUCUCAUCUUUAUAAAGAGCUGCUUUCAAAUUCUACAUCGAUUUUUGGAAAAAUAUGUAUUGCUCUGGUAAAAAGUGCUGCAUCUAUGAUCUCAAACCUCUCCCUCGAAUUGGAUGGAGAUGGUGAAUUUCAGCCAAAGUGGCCAAAGAACUCGUGUCCCACGCUCCUGAACGCCAUCAGCCCCCGCACCUCCAUCAUUCCUCCUCCCACGAGUCUCCUGCUCCCCGUGACUUUGGCCUUCUCUCGGUGCUGCUGAGGCACAUCAGGAAGUGCUGGAGGACGUGGCACUGCGCCAGCACUGGGCGGCCGGCCGUGUAGCUCAUCCCGCAGAUCGUGCUCUACCUGUGCUUGGAGAUGAAGUCCUCCUGGAAGCAGCUCGUGGCCCACUUCUCAGGCAUCAUCACUUCAUCACUGCCCUGACUGUCCUGGUUGCCACGAAAGAGCUGCUGAGGCCACGGCUGUCGGGCACGCCUGCCGUCUGAAGCCUGCACCGGCUGCUGAAAGGUAUUCAGUGGUGGCACGUGCUGCGGCUGUAGCACCGGCUGGAAAGUGUCAGGAAGGGGUCUCAAGGAGGUGGGCAGCAUACCGGGCAUGGCCUCGAAGCCUCCUGACAGCAUGUUGGCAGCGUGGCUGAGAUGCUGGGGCCACCAUCACCUGCCAGUCCCAGCUUGGAGUCAUAGAUCACCUGCACGGCACAGAUGAGGCUGGGAAGAGGCCACAGUCACUGUAGCCAUGGACGCUCUUGAGCAGCCCUUGAUGUCCUGCUCCCGCACAGGCUCAGCACCUCGUGUUCCUGCAGCAAGUUCUUGCCGGGGUUCUCUGACCUGAAAUGGUACAACAACCGGGUGAGGUGUGCCA
rnacentral:lncRNA from 1 species